rnacentral:rRNA from 1 species
UACGAAGGGGGCUAGCGUUGCUCGGAAUCACUGGGCGUAAAGGGUGCGUAGGCGGGUCUUUAAGUCAGGGGUGAAAUCCUGGAGCUCGACUCCAGAACUGCCUUUGAUACUGAGGAUCUUGAGUUCGGGAGAGGUGAGUGGAACUGCGAGUGUAGAGGUGAAAUUCGUAGAUAUUCGCAAGAACACCAGUGGCGAAGGCGGGUUGCUGGGCCGACACUGACGCUGAUGCGCGAAAGCCAGGGGAGCGAACGGG